rnacentral:rRNA from 1 species
AGUGAAGAAGGCCUUCGGGUUGUAAAGCUCUUUCAGCUGGAACGAAACGGUGUGCUCUAACAUACCAGGCGCUAAUGACGGUACCCGCAGAAUAAGCACCGGCUAACUACGUGCCAGCAGCCGCGGUAAUACGUAGGGUGCAAGCGUUAAUCGGAAUUACUGGGCGUAAAGCGUGCGCAGGCGGCUAUGUAAGACAGGUGUGAAAUCCCCGGGCUUAACCUGGGAAGUGCACUUGUGACUGCAUGGCUAGAGUGUGUCAGAGGGAGGUGGAAUUCCGCGUGUAGCAGUGAAAUGCGUAGAGAUGCGGAGGAACACCGAUGGCGAAGGCAGCCUCCUGGGAUAACACUGACGCUCAGGCACGAAAGCGUGGGGAGCAAACAGGAUUAGAUACCCUGGUAGUCCACGCCCUAAACGAUGUCAACUAGUUGUCGGGGAUUCGUUUCCUUGGUAACGCAGCUAACGCGUGAAGUUGACCGCCUGGGGAGUACGGCCGCAAGGUUA